rnacentral:rRNA from 1 species
GACGAACGCUGGCGGCGUGCUUAACACAUGCAAGUCGAACGGAAAGGCCCUGCUUUUGUGGGGUGCUCGAGUGGCGAACGGGUGAGUAACACGUGAGUAACCUGCCCUUGACUUUGGGAUAACUUCAGGAAACUGGGGCUAAUACCGGAUAGGAGCUCCUGCUGCAUGGGGGGGGUUGGAAAGUUUCGGCGGUUGGGGAUGGAUUCGCGGCUUACCAGCUUGUUGGGGGGGUAGUGGCUUACCACGGCUUUGACGGGUAGCCGGCCUGGGAGGGUGAUCGGCCACAUUGGGCCUGAGAUACGGCCCAGACUCCUACGGGACGCAGCGGUGGGGAAUAUUGCACAAUGGGCGGAAGCCUGAUGCAGCAACGCCGCGUGCGGGAUGCCGGCCUUCGGGUUGUAAACCGCUUUCGCCUGUGACGAAGCGUGAGUGACGGUAAUGGGUAAAGAAGCACCGGCUAACUACGUG